AGUUGAUGCCAUAACAGCAACAAAUAAGGAUGUUUCUUAUCUGCAUGCAAAAAACAAAACCAACAAAUAGAAAGAAAGGGAAGGUCUGUUGUUUGUGAACACGAUGAGGAUUCAAUUUUUGAAGGGGAGAAUCAACUAGGGUUU